UACGAAGGGUGCAAGCGUUAAUCGGAAUUACUGGGCGUAAAGGGUGCGUAGGCGGUUGUUUAAGUCUGUCGUGAAAUCCCCGGGCUCAACCUGGGAAUGGCGAUGGAUACUGGGCAGCUAGAGUGUGUCAGAGGAUGGUGGAAUUCCCGGUGUAGCGGUGAAAUGCGUAGAGAUCGGGAGGAACACCAGUGGCGAAGGCGGCCUUCUGGACCAGUACUGACGCUCAUGCACGAAAGCGUGGGGAGCAAACAGG
rnacentral:rRNA from 1 species